rnacentral:rRNA from 1 species
GACGAACGCUGGCGGCGUGCUUAACACAUGCAAGUCGAACGGAAAGGCCCUGCUUUUGUGGGGUGCUCGAGUGGCGAACGGGUGAGUAACACGUGAGUAACCUGCCCUUGACUUUGGGAUAACUUCAGGAAACUGGGGCUAUUACCGGAUAGGAGCUCCUGCUGCAUGUUGGGGGUUGGAAAGUUUCGGCGGUUGGGGAUGGACUCGCGGCUUACCAGCUUGUUGGUGGGGUAGUGGCUUACCAAGGCUUUGACGGGUAGCCGGCCUGAGAGGGUGACCGGCCACAUUGGGACUGAGAUACGGCCCAGACUCCUACGGGAGGCAGCAGUGGAGAAUAUUGCAGAAUGGGGGGAAGCCUGAUGCAGCAACGCCGCGUGCGGGAUGACGGCCUUCGGGUUGUAAACCGCUUUCGCCUGUGACGAAGCGUGAGUGACGGUAAUGGGUAAAGAAGCACCGGCUAACUACGUG